ACGAUCGCUGGCGGCGUGCUCAAACAUGCAAGAAAAACGGAUCUCAGUCCGCAAGGACUGAGGUGAGUGGCGAACUGCUCAGUAACACGUAGGUGACCUGCCCCGGAGCGGGGGAUAACACCUCGAAAGAGGUGCUAAUACCGCAUGUGACCACCGAUCCAUUUCGGUGCUCAAAGUCGCAAGACGCUCUGGGAGGGGCCUGCGGCGGAUUAGCUAGUUGGUGUGGUAACGGCGCACCAAGGCUUCGAUCCGUAGCUGGUCUGAGAGGAUGGCCAGCCAGACUGGGACUGAGACACGGCCCAGACUCCUACGGGAGGCAGCAGUGGG
rnacentral:rRNA from 1 species